rnacentral:rRNA from 1 species
GACGAACGCUGGCGGCGUGCCUAACACAUGCAAGUCGUGCGAGAAAGUUCCUUCGGGAGCGAGUAAAGCGGCGCACGGGUGAGUAACACGUAGGUAACCUGCCCCCCAGUCUGGAACAACUAGAGGAAACUCUAGCUAAUGCCGGAUGAGACCACGAUCCCUUCGGGGGUUGCGGCCAAAGAUGGCCUCUACUUGUAAGCUAUCGCUGAGGGAUGGGCCUGCGGGCCAUUAGCUUGUGGUGAGGUAACGGCUCACCAAGGCUGUGAUGGCUAGCUGGUCUGAGAGGAUGACCAGCCACACUGGGACUGAGACACGGCCCAGACUCCUACGGGAGGCAGCAGUGGGGAAUA